ensembl:snoRNA
GCUAUAACGUGUGCACGGUGUUCAUCUGUGUCUGGUAGCAGUGUCUGUCUGCGUUUUGCAUUCAGUUCUUGCUAUUCACACAAACAUCAUGCAGCCGAAGAGUGAGUUGGGAUCAUAGUACUGGUCUAGUGUUGUCUCUUUGGACCUGUCCACCACUGGCCAGCCUCCAAAUUCCACACACAAAA